UGGAAUAUACUUGUAAGAGAUUAUUACAUACGGAGUAUGAAGUGUAAAGAGUAAAAUGGUACAAUAAAGAAAAUAUGAAAGAAUACUAAGAUUUAUCUGAAUAACCCAAAAGAAGGCAGGAAAUGAGGAAUAAAAAACAGAUGGGUAAGCGAAAAAUAAUGAGGUGAUAGACUUGAACCCAGUCAUAUCAGUUAUUACAUUAAAGGUAAAUGAACUAAAUUAUUACAUGGAAAUGUACAACAGACAUCUUUUUUUUUUUUUUUUUAAAUCAGGGUCAA